rnacentral:rRNA from 1 species
GACGAACGCUGGCGGCGUGCCUAAUACAUGCAAGUCGAACGCAGAGGGGACGGGCUAGUAACACGUGGGUAACCUCCCCAUCAGAGGGUUAACACACGGAAACAGGUGCUAAACCGAUACUGAUGGAUGGACCCGCGGUGAAUUAGCUAGUUGGGGAGGUAACGGCUCACCAUGGCGACGAGGCAGAGCCGGCCUGAGAGGGUGAUAGGCCACACUGGAACGGAGACACGGCCUAGGCUCCUACGGGAGUGAGCAGUGGGGAAUCUUCGGCAAUGGGCGAAAGUCUGACGGAGCAACGCCGCGUGUGUGAAGAAGGUUUUCGGAUCGUAAAACUCUGUUGUUAGGGAGGCGGUAUCUGCCGAGGAAGCAACGGCUAACUACGUGCCAGCAGCCGCGGUAAUAC